rnacentral:sRNA from 1 species
GCAUUUGAUUUUCUCCUACUCAGUGUGGGUACUGAGAGACUUCCCAGAAGAUGGCCUGAAGAUAUUUACUGAAGAUCUCCCGGAAGUGGAGUCUCUGCCACGUGAUCGAGUCCUCGGCUUCUUAAUAGAGAAUUUUAAGGGUCUGGCUAUUCCUUAUCUGGUAAGGUAUUUUUUGGUCUGUACUGAAAAGCUUUAAUCCCAGGAUCCGGGACUGCGUGGUUCCAUUAUCGGGCUGUUCAGAUUUGGGAUUUUUGUCACUUGGGGAUUGGAAGGAUGAGGGUUAUUUCAGCUUCCUCUGAAGAAAAAGAUCCCGGUAGACCAAGCUGGAAAUGCUACCUACCAAAUCUAGGUAACGUACAGAGGGAUAAAAGAAUGAUGUUUUAGAAAAAAAAAUUCCAAAGCCACAUUUGUACAGCCAAACUCAAAAGUGACCACAGGACAAUCAAAUAGGCUUAAGUACCAGGAUGCAGAUAUUUAACCAUAAUUACAUGAGUCGCUGUGAGAGUUUGGAGGAUUAUGGGACAAAAUUAGUAAAAAGGAGUUUAGUAAUUGAGAAGAUGGCUCCUCACAUUACUGGGUCGCAUUGUGAAACUUCCUGGUGGCUUUAGACGAGCUGUCUCUUGGUCAUCUUUGCAGCCUGAUUAGGGGAUAAUCUGGAUGGGACCUGUUGGGCCUUAAAAAUGUGAGGGAGGCUGGGAGACUAGGUCACAGCCUGGAGAAUACCAGUGACAAAGACCUACAUCUUGCCUCAGGAACACAUCAUCCACGUUUGGGAGGAGACGGGCUCUCGGUUCCACAACUGCCUGAUCCAGCUCUACUGUGAGAAGGUGCAAGGUCUGAUGAAGGAGUAUCUCCUGUCCUUCCCUGCAGGUACCAGUUCUUUUAGGAAGCCGGUUGGCCCCAGGCCUUAGAGGAGAGCACAGACCCAGGUGCCACAUGUGGUGGGGGUAAGCAGGCCACCCUAUUCUCUGCCCAGGUGGGCAGAAGUUCUGACGAGGAGCCAGGGGAGCUAAGUGACACAGGCCUGGCACAUGAGACUCAGGAGCUCUUGUCUGGGUCCUGGCAUCUCUGAGUGUCUCAGAGUCAUCCCUGGGGGAGGGUGGAAGGAACAGACCUGUCUGCAAGAUAACAGCUAUACUGAUAAGAAACAGGUUUGCCCACAGAGUAUUUCCCUAUUCAGCUUAUUUUUUUAAGUGUAAGCUGAUGUUUUGGGGCCACAUGGAGACUAUGAACUAAAAGAAGUUAGCAUGGAAGCCACCCUGGAGGCCCUUUUUGGUCAUGUGGUGACAUCCUUGAACCCCAUUCCCUUCAUUUUUCUUGAUGACCCUACAUUGCCACCUGGCAGUGUCCUUUCAUUUUGAGCUUGGUUUCCCUUAAAGGCAAAACCCCAGUCCCAGCUGGAGAGGAAGAGGGUGAGCUGGGAGAAUACCGGCAAAAGCUCCUCAUGUUCUUGGAGAUUUCCAGCUGCUAUGAUCCAGGCCGGCUCAUCUGUGAUUUUCCCUUUGAUGGCCUCUUAGAAGAACGAGCUCUUCUGUUGGGGCGCAUGGGGAAACAUGAGCAAGCUCUUUUCAUUUAUGUCCACAUCUUGAAGGAUACAAGGAUGGCUGAGGAGUAUUGCCACAAACACUAUGACCAAAACAAAGAUGGCAACAAAGAUGUGUAUCUGUCCCUGCUUCGGAUGUACCUGUCGCCCCCCAGCAUUCACUGCCUGGGGCCAAUCAAGCUGGAACUACUGGAGCCAAAAGCCAACCUCCAGGCCGCUCUGCAGGUCCUCGAGCUGCACCACAGCAAACUGGACACCACCAAGGCCCUCAACCUUCUGCCAGCAAACACUCAGAUCAAUGACAUACGCAUCUUCCUGGAAAAGGUCUUGGAAGAAAAUGCACAAAAGAAACGGUUCAAUCAAGUACUCAAGAACCUUCUCCAUGCAGAGUUCCUGAGGGUCCAGGAAGAGCGGAUUUUACACCAGCAGGUGAAGUGCAUCAUCACAGAGGAGAAGGUGUGCAUGGUGUGUAAGAAGAAGAUUGGGAACAGUGCAUUUGCAAGAUACCCCAAUGGAGUGGUCGUGCACUACUUCUGUUCCAAAGAGGUAAACCCAGCUGACACUUGAGCCCAGCAUCAUGGGGAUCCAGCAGAUGGACAGCUUGGCUCUCCCAGAGAGGUGAAGGAGCACCUGGCCUUAGGAAUCCUGGCUGCCACCACCACAAGGUUCCCUAUUUGGACAUUACUGGCUAUCUUGUGCCCUGGAACAACUCUGAAUUAAUUAGACUCAUGGUCUGGCAUUGCCAGCUUUUUAAUGGGAAAAGAGAUUAGUUAUACCUUAUACCAUUAUGUUGUGGGCAAUUCCAGAGAAUUCAGUACCUGCUUGGUCAGGAGGAGGUGCACCAUCUUGCCUUUGCACACCAGUCACCUGAACAAGGAAACUUGUCACAAGUGUUUGUAACCAUGGGGUUGUUCAUCAAGGGCUUUUCUAUUAAGUACACGACUUCGCAAGGACCGCUCAGCAUGGCUCACUGGAGAGUUCCAUGAGAGAACAGCGCUCAAGCUUCUGGCCGCAUGGACCCGAUGGCUCGCGUUCUGUGUAGUGUUUUACGUCCCCAUGGUAGCCGUGCCCUGCACCCCUCAGUAGCCACCCUGUUAGUUUUCAGUCUCCUUUUCUUUCUCACUAUUUAUCACUUCCCUCACUGCCCUACCCAGGCUUUCUCUCCCACUUCCCCGACUCUGGGAAUAACUAAUAUUUAAGCAAGGUAAGAUGAGAAGCAAGGGGAAGUCUCAGUUCUAGGAAUACAGUGCUAGUUGAUUGUCAGGUAUGUUGUAAAUAGACCCUCUUUGGCCACACACUCCAUGCCUAGAUGCCUCGGAGAGCACCAUUCUCUGCCUAGGCAAGGCCCUGCAUCCCUCGCCUUAGGCCGGGCUGAGUGUGACCGCAGCUCCUGAGGAUGGGCCUGCCCUGUCUGGGGUAUGCGUGAUCCCUAGACACAUGUUCCCACAGAGGUGCCUGCUCCGUCUUCGCUCACCAGACACUCAGGCAGGCUGGCUUAGUCUCUGUGCGUGGCGAUUUUGUGCUCUGGGCCCUUUCUCUUUUUCCAGCCAGUUUCCAUUCAUUUGCCUUACAGCCUGCCCUGGCCAUCACUCCCCAGCUUUGUUCAGCAAUGGUGUGGUUGGAGGGUUGUGCUGGGAUAGCGCAGGAAGGUGGGUCCCGGCAGCACGCAGGGGAUGAGUGGACCUGGAACUGACAAUGGCGUGCUGCCAAGUGUUCCUGAGAGGUGUUUAGGCACAGCAGAGAGGAUGCGGGGGGCAAGAACAGCAGGACGCUGGUUUAAAAAUCACUCACCGCCAAACCUGUGGAGCAGUGUGGGGGAUCCUGCCAGAGGUGCACAGCCUGGAGUUUCAGGCACUGCAGGCUGAUGACACACAGGGAGAGUGGCCCUGCAUCCUGUCCUCCCUGGGGUUUUUGCAGACUCGAAGUCUCACUGCACCAGUGUCUUUGAUGGUGGUGAGGGUGGGUGCUGACAGUUUUAGUGGCCUGUCCUGGACAUGCUGUGGUCCUUUGUAAACCAUGGCCCCAUGCUGUGUGACAGAUCGACGUGCUGAUGGUAAGCAGACUAGGCUCCCCCAGGCACGCUGUCCGUGGGGGCCUGAAGAGACAGUGAAUGCCGUUGGCCCCAUUCGCAGAUGUGGGAGACUCUGCUCAGGCCUGUGAGGCUGGGCAGCCCUUCACCAGAGUUCGGAGGAGCAGUGUGUGGUGCCACGUCCCUACUGGCCAUACCCACAUAGAAGCAGUGCUGCCUGGGGCCUCGUCUGGGCCAGCUUGGACUCUGCUUCCUCCAGGAGCAGCAGGGAAGCGCUGGGCCACCUCCCUGGAUAGCAGGAACUUGCCCUGCCACGUGUGCCCUGCCUUCCUGGCCAGCUGUGCUUGUUAUCUUCCAUUCUCACAAACUGUGUUUGAAGCAAUAGAAUAAAGAAUGUGUGUUUUCUUUCCUGGUAUACAUACAUGAUCCCAUGUUCCCAAGCUCCAUUCUUCCUUCCCUCAACUCUCUGCCCUCCACAGAGCUAUGGAGAAGGCUGGAGAUGAAAGCUUUGUAGUGAGGACUGAUAAAGAUCUCAUUACUGCUCCUUACAAUAAACCUAAUAAAGC